GGAGGGUUGGCAGAAUGGUAAUGCACCACUCUUGAAAAGUGGCGGGCGUAAGCCCUUAGAGGUUCGAGUCCUCUACCCUCCG
rnacentral:tRNA from 1 species